AGGCCUAACACAUGCAAGUCGAGCGGUAGCGGGCCUGACCACUCUCGAGUGGUUCAGGCGCCGACGAGCGGCGGACGGGUGCGUAACACGUAGGAAUCUGCCCGGUAGUGGGGGAUAGCCCGGAGAAAUUCGGAUUAAUACCGCAUACGCCCUAAGGGGGAAAGCAGGGGAUCGGUUCGCCGACCUUGCGCUAUCGGAUGAGCCUGCGUCGGAUUAGCUAGUUGGUGGGGUAAAGGCCUACCAAGGCGACGAUCCGUAGCUGGUCUGAGAGGAUGAUCAGCCACACUGGGACUGAGACACGGCCCAGACUCCUACGGGAGGCAGCAGUGGGGAAUAUUGCACAAUGGGCGAAAGCCUGAUGCAGCCAUGCCGCGUGUGUGAAGAAGGCCCUAGGGUUGUAAAGCACUUUCAGUGGGGAGGAAAGGUCGAAGGUUAAUACCCUUUGGCUGUGACGUUACCCACAGAAGAAGCACCGGCUAACUCCGUGCCAGCAGCCGCGGUAAUACGGAGGGUGCGAGCGUUAAUCGGAAUUACUGGGCGUAAAGCGUGCGUAGGCGGCCAUUUAAGUUGGAUGUGAAAGCCCCGGGCUCAACCUGGGAACUGCAUCCAAAACUGGGUGGCUUGAGUGCGAGAGAGGAGUGUGGAAUUUCCUGUGUAGCGGUGAAAUGCGUAGAUAUAGGAAGGAACACCAGUGGCGAAGGCGACACUCUGGCUUGACACUGACGCUGAGGUACGAAAGCGUGGGGAGCAAACAGGAUUAGAUACCCUGGUAGUCCACGCCGUAAACGAUGUCUACUAGUUGUCGGUGGUCUUGUACUGCUGGUAACGCAGCUAACGCGAUAAGUAGACCGCCUGGGGAGUAC
rnacentral:rRNA from 1 species